CUGUCAUAUUUUAUUUAGAUGCAAUGUGUUGUUUCUCUCCAUCUAGCACUUUUUAUUUUCAAUAUAUUCUUUAUUUGUUGCAUCAUUAAAAAGUUUACAGCAAUUCGAAGGAAGGGAGAAUUUCAGAGGCGUCAACAAUGUUUAUAGAUUACCCAUCGCGCCGAAAGAGACGAUUUUUAAGGCCGGCCACACAUUUGCAGGAAUUCCAGCAUAAGGCACAUUUGUCUUAGGAGGAGCAGUAGAACACUGAGCGAAGCCAUGCCACAAGGGUGAAGCAGAUUGUGCAGCUGUGGAGGGACGAUGCUGGCAAGAAGAUCCUGGGUCGCAGUGGCACUGGACGACGAGCAGCGCUGUUGAAGGAGAUGGACAAGUGCACCGAGAAAACGGCCACGGCUUCCGCCAUGUCAAACAGCUCUUCGAUUUUCGGUCCCCAUAGACUAUUGUGUG